UUCUGGGUAUCUUUGGACCUACCAGCUUUGGUGGCCUCCCUUCCAAGCCACAGAAGACCAUACUCUUGUUUAUUGGAAAGGGUGUCACUAUUUAAUUGGCAUCAGAUACACUGACUAGCACAAGUAGCAUCC